AGAGUUUGAUUAUGGCUCAGGAUGAACGCUAGCGACAGGCUUAACACAUGCAAGUCGAGGGGCAUCACGGGAGUAGCAAUACAACUGGUGGCGACCGGCGCACGGGUGAGUAACGCGUAUGCAACCUACCUAUCAGAGGGGAAUAACCCGGCGAAAGUCGGACUAAUACCGCAUAAAACAGGGGCACCGCAUGGUGAUAUUUGUUAAAGAAAUUCGCUGAUAGAUGGGCAUGCGUUCCAUUAGGUAGUUGGUGAGGUAACGGCUCACCAAGCCGACGAUGGAUAGGGGAACUGAGAGGUUGGUCCCCCACACUGGUACUGAGACACGGACCAGACUCCUACGGGAGGCAGCAGUGAGGAAUAUUGGUCAAUGGGCGGGAGCCUGAACCAGCCAAGUCGCGUGAAGGAAGAAGGAUCUAUGGUUCGUAAACUUCUUUUGCAGGGGAAUAAAGUGCAGGACGUGUCCUGUUUUGUAUGUACCCUGAGAAUAAGGAUCGGCUAACUCCGUGCCAGCCGCGGC
rnacentral:rRNA from 1 species